UUAACCUAGCGGCGGACGGGUGAGUAAUGCUUAGGAAUCUGCCUAUUAGUGGGGGACAACAUCUCGAAAGGGAUGCUAAUACCGCAUACGUCCUACGGGAGAAAGCAGGGGACCUUCGGGCCUUGCGCUAAUAGAUGAGCCUAGUCGGAUUAGCUAGUUGGUGGGGUAAAGGCCUACCAAGGCGACGAUCUGUAGCGGGUCUGAGAGGAUGAUCCGCCACACUGGGACUGAGACACGGCCCAGACUCCUACGGGAGGCAGCAGUGGGGAAUAUUGGACAAUGGGGGGAACCCUGAUCCAGCCAUGCCGCGUGUGUGAAGAAGGCCUUUUGGUUGUAAAGCACUUUAAGCGAGGAGGAGGCUACCGAGAUUAAUACUCUUGGAUAGUGGACGUUACUCGCAGAAUAAGCACCGGCUAACUCUGUGCCAGCAGCCGCGGUAAUACAGAGGGUGCAAGCGUUAAUCGGAUUUACUGGGCGUAAAGCGCGCGUAGGUGGCCAAUUAAGUCAAAUGUGAAAUCCCCGAGCUUAACUUGGGAAUUGCAUUCGAUACUGGUUGGCUAGAGUAUGGGAGAGGAUGGUAGAAUUCCAGGUGUAGCGGUGAAAUGCGUAGAGAUCUGGAGGAAUACCGAUGGCGAAGGCAGCCAUCUGGCCUAAUACUGACACUGAGGUGCGAAAGCAUGGGGAGCAAACAGGAUUAGAUACCCUGGUAGUCCAUGCCGUAAACGAUGUCUACUAGCCGUUGGGGCCUUUGAGCUUUAGUGGCGCAGCUAACGCGAUAAGUAGACCGCCUGGGGAGUACGG
rnacentral:rRNA from 1 species